UUCCGGUUGAUCCCGCCGGACCUGACUGCUAUCGGAUUGAUACUAAGCCAUGCUAGUCAUUGUAGUAAUACAAGGCAUACGGCUCAGUAACGCGUAGUCAACCUACCCUAUGGACGGGGAUAAUCUCGGGAAACUGAGCAUAAUACCCGGUAGACCACUUUUCCUGGAAUGGUUAGUGGUUAAAAUGAUUCGUCGCCAUAGGAUGGGACUGCGGCCUAUCAGCUUGUUGGUGAGGUAAUGGCCCACCAAGGCGAUUACAGGUACGGGCUCUGAGAGGAGAAGCCCGGAGAUGGGUACUGAGACAAGGACCCAGGCCCUAUGGGGCGCAGCAGGCGAGAAAACUUUGCAAUGUGCGAAAGCACGACAAGGUUAAUCCGAGUGAUUUCUGCUAAAGAGAUCUUUUGCUAGUUAUAAAACCACUAGUGAAUAAGGGGUGGGCAAGUUCUGGUGUCAGCCGCCGCGGUAAAACCAGCACCUCAAGUGGUCAGGAUGAUUAUUGGGCCUAAAGCAUCCGUAGCCGGCUCUGUAAGUUUUCGGUUAAAUCUAUACGCUCAACGUAUGGGCUGCCGAAAAUACUGUAGAGAUAGGGAGUGGGAGAGGUAGACGGUACUCGGUAGGAAGGGGUAAAAUCCUUUGAUCUAUUGAUGACCACCUGUGGCGAAGGCGGUCUACCAGAACACGUUCGACGGUGAGGGAUGAAAGCUGGGGGAGCAAACCGGAUUAGAUACCCGGGUAGUCCCAGCUGUAAACGAUGCAGACUCGGUGAUGCGUUGGUAUGUUACUAGCGCAGUGCCGCAGGGAAGCCGUUAAGUUUGCCGCCUGGGAAGUACGUACGCAAGUAUGAAACUUAAAGGAAUUGGCGGGGGAGCACCACAAGGGGUGAAGCCUGCGGUUCAAUUGGAGUCAACGCCGGA
rnacentral:rRNA from 1 species